rnacentral:sRNA from 1 species
UUGCGGUAGUGACCCUCGGGCCUCGCCAUGAAGAGCCGCUUUAGCACCAUUGACCUCCGCGCCGUACUCGCGGAGCUGAAUGCUAGCUUGCUAGGAAUGAGAGUAAACAAUGUUUAUGAUGUGGAUAAUAAGACAUACCUUAUUCGUCUUCAAAAACCGGACUUUAAAGCUACACUUUUACUUGAAUCUGGCAUACGAAUUCAUACAACAGAAUUUGAGUGGCCUAAGAAUAUGAUGCCGUCUAGUUUUGCCAUGAAGUGCCGAAAACAUUUGAAGAGUCGGAGAUUAGUCAGUGCAAAACAGCUUGGUGUGGAUAGAAUUGUAGAUUUUCAAUUUGGAAGUGAUGAAGCUGCUUAUCAUUUAAUCAUUGAGCUCUAUGAUAGGGUUGACUGAAAUAGUAGCCAGCGCACCUAAGGGUGAACUACUGAAGAGGGUGCUUAACCCAUUACUUCCCUAUGGACCAGCUCUCAUUGAACACUGUCUUUUAGAAAAUGGAUUCUCGGGUAAUGUCAAAGUGGAUGAAAAACUUGAAACUAAAGGGAUAUAUCAUUCAGAAAAGAGAAAUAAAACCAAGCUUGGAAGCAGAUAAACCAGUUGAAGACAUAUUCACGUAAGCAUAUAGGCAUGGGUCAAUUUGCUUUGGAUGUUUGUUAAUGUUCUCGAAUGUGAUAUUAUAAAUAUGUUUUACAGGUAUGAGGAAUUUCAUCCUUUCUUGUUUUCUCAACAUUCACAAUGUCCAUAUAUAGAAUUUGAAUCAUUUGACAAGGCGGUGGAUGAAUUUUAUUCCAAGAUAGAAGGCCAGAAAAUUGACUUAAAAGCUUUACAACAGGAAAAGCAAGCAUUGAAGAAAUUAGAUAAUGUUCGAAAGGAUCACGAAAACAGAUUGGAAGCUCUUCAGCAGGCUCAGGAAAUAGACAAACUGAAAGGAGAGCUUAUAGAAAUGAACCUACAAAUAGUUGACAGAGCCAUUCAGGUAGUUCGAAGUGCUUUAGCUAACCAGAUAGAUUGGACAGAAAUUGGGUUAAUUGUGAAAGAAGCCCAGGCUCAAGGAGACCCUGUUGCAAGUGCAAUCAAAGAAUUAAAACUACAAACAAACCAUGUUACAAUGCUGCUAAGAAAUCCAUACUUGUUAUCAGAGGAGGAAGAUGAUGAUGUUGAUGGUGACGUCAAUGUUGAGAAAAAUGAAACCGAACCACCAAAAGGAAAAAAGAAAAAACAAAAGAAUAAACAGCUGCAGAAGCCUCAGAAAAAUAAGCCGUUACUUGUAGAUGUUGAUCUCAGCUUGUCAGCAUAUGCCAAUGCCAAAAAGUAUUAUGAUCACAAGAGAUAUGCUGCUAAGAAAACACAAAAGACUGUUGAAGCUGCUGAGAAGGCAUUCAAGUCAGCAGAAAAGAAAACAAAGCAAACAUUAAAAGAAGUUCAGACUGUUACCUCUAUUCAAAAAGCAAGAAAAGUAUAUUGAAUCUGAAACGGAGAGGGUAAGGAACUUAGGCGAAGUCAUGCAGUGACCAGAGGACAACGCAUAAGUGCUGACAGGUUUGAGGAAUGACUCUGUCAUGGCACCAAACUCAAAAGGUAUUCAUUAACUUUUCUUUGAGCCAUAAAAAGGAUCAAAUGUGUCAUUUCAACAAACACACAGACACUUGCCUGCUGUCACACAAAAGGAAAUGGGGGCCAGCCACAGUGGCUCAUGCCUGUUAUCCCAGCACUUUGGGAGGCCGAGGCGGGCAGAUGACAAGAUCAGGAGUUUGAGACCAGCCUGGACAAUAAGGCGAACCCCCGUUUCUACUAAAAAUACAAAAAUUAGCCAGGUGUGGUGGCUUGUG